rnacentral:rRNA from 1 species
UGGGUAACCUGCCUCAAAGAGGGGAAUAGCCUCCCGAAAGGGAGAUUAAUACCGCAUAAUAUGUUUUAGUCGCAUGACUUAAACAUCAAAGGAUUUUCUUUUAGAACUUCCACUUUGAGAUGGACCCGCGGCGCAUUAGCUAGUUGGUGAGGUAACGGCUCACCAAGGCAACGAUGCGUAGCCUACCUGAGAGGGUNAUCGGCCACAUUGGAACUGAGACACGGUCCAGACUCCUAGGAGG